rnacentral:rRNA from 1 species
CGUGCAGGCGGGUUGGUAAGUCAGAUGUGAAAGCCCUGGGCUCAACCCAGGAAGUGCAUUUGAAACUGCCAUCCUUGAGUAUGGGAGAGGAGAGUGGAAUUCCCAAUGUAGAGGUGAAAUUCGUAGAUAUUGGGAGGAACACCCGUGGCGAAGGCGACUCUCUGGACCAAUACUGACGCUGAGACGCGAAAGCGUGGGGAGCAAACG